UACAGAGGUGCCAAGCGUUAGGCGGAAUCACUGGGCUUAAAGCGCGUGUAGGUGGGUCGUUAAGUGUCCGCGUGAAAUCCCACGGCUCAACCGGGGAACUGCGUCUGAUACUGGAUGGCUUGAGUUUGGGAGAGGGAUGCGGAAUUCCAGGUGUAGCGGUGAAAUGCGUAGAUAUCUGGAGGAACACCGGUGGCGAAGGCGGCAUCCUGGACCAAUACUGACACUGAAAAGCGAAAGCCAGGGGAGCAAACAGG
rnacentral:rRNA from 1 species